UACGUAGGGUGCAAGCGUUGUCCGGAAUUAUUGGGCGUAAAGAGCUCGUAGGCGGUUCGUCGCGUCGGCUGUGAAAUCCCGAGGCUCAACCUCGGGUCUGCAGUCGAUACGGGCGGACUGGAGUUCGGCAGGGGAGACUGGAAUUCCUGGUGUAGCGGUGAAAUGCGCAGAUAUCAGGAGGAACACCGGUGGCGAAGGCGGGUCUCUGGGCCGAUGACUGACGCUGAGGAGCGAAAGCGUGGGGAGCAAACAGG
rnacentral:rRNA from 1 species